GGCCACCAGGGGCUUUGUCUCUGGCAAGGGUGGGAGCUGCCCUGGUCGCGGUGACGCCUCCUACGGCCUAGAGAUCGACGCCGCAGUGAAAGAGAAACUUAAGAGCCAUGAAGAGCCCUCUGCAAUCAGAAGGGACACAGGUUCAGUCCCUGGUCAGGGAAGAUUCCACAUGCAUCAGGGCAACGGAGUCCAUGCACCACGACUACUGAAGCCCUCACACCACGACUAGAGAUUCCCUGCGCUGCAAUAGAAGAUUCUGCACAACUCAACAAAGGUCCUCAAGCCCUGGGCUGGGCUUCAACAACCCUACUUCCACGCUCCAACUUGAGUUCUAAGUGAGACCCUGGAGUUUUGUCCACUCGCUGAUUUGAUGUCAAUACAGUUUG